CCUGGCUCAGAUUGAACGCUGGCGGCAUGCCUAACACAUGCAAGUCGAACGGCAGCACGGUCUAGUUUACUAGAUGGGUGGCGAGUGGCGGACGGGUGAGUAAUGCGCAGGAAUAUGCCUUAAAGUGGGGGACAACUUGGGGAAACUCAAGCUAAUACCACGUAAUCUCUUAGGAGAAAAGCUGGGGACCUUCGGGCCUGGCGCUUUAAGAUUAGCCU
rnacentral:rRNA from 1 species